rnacentral:rRNA from 1 species
UACGAAGGGGGCUAGCGUUGUUCGGAAUUACUGGGCGUAAAGCGCGCGCAGGCGGUCCUUUAAGUCGGGGGUGAAAGCCCAGAGCUCAACUCUGGAACUGCCUUCGAAACUAGAGGACUUGGGUACGGGAGAGGUUAGUGGAAUUCCCAGUGUAGAGGUGAAAUUCGUAGAUAUUGGGAGGAACACCAGUGGCGAAGGCGGCUCACUGGACUGGUACUGACGCUGAUGCGCGAAAGCGUGGAGAGCAAACAGG